UCUCUAGUUUGUACUGUGGUCUGUGACGU
rnacentral:piRNA from 1 species